GUCGACGCCGACGUCGUCGACCUCAAAGCCGGCGGCGUCUCCGUAGGCUCCGCCCACUCGCCCCAGCCCGGGGGGCUCCGCCCACCCCGGGUCGACCUCCCGACGACCUCGGGGGUCUCCACCCCCCGGGACGUGACCCCAGCCCCCGGCGGCCGCAAGCCCCGCCCCCCCACCGUCGACGUCUUCCACACGUGCGACGCGGCGCCGUCGGUGGAGCUGCUCUGCCUGGUCACCGCCUUCGCCCCGCCCCCCGUCGAGGUCACCUGGAUGGCCGACGGCCACGCCCUCGUCCCCGCCCCGCCCGUCGAGCCGCCCGCCCCCGACGCGGCGCCGGGGACCUUCCGCCUCCUCUCCCGGGCCAACGUGACGCUGGAGGAUUGGCAGGAAAGGACCUUCUCGUGCCGCGUCGCCCACCCGGCCACCGACACCGUCCUGGAGGUCCCCGCCCACAAGUGCGCCGGCGACUCCUCGUCCUCCCCCGGCGGCGUCGGCGUCUUCCUGCUGGGCCCGUCUCCGUCGUCGCUCUACGUGGCGCAGACGCCGCGUUUGAGGUGUUUGGCCACCAGCCUCCCCAGCGACGAGGGGCUGACGGUCACGUGGAGCCGGGCGGGCACCAAUCCGGGCCCCAGGGGGGAGAUGAGGCCCCUCCCACUGCGCUUGACCCCCCACGUCAACGGGACGUUCACGGCGACGAGCGAGUUGCCGGUGACGGUCGGCGACUGGGAGAGCGGCGAUGAGUUCACGUGCACGGUGGCCCACGCCGAGAUGCCGGCGCCCGUCAGCAGGAGGGUCAGGAGGAGCCCCG